ensembl:lncRNA
GGAGGCGGCCGCUGCGGCUCCCGCACGCAGACGGCUGCGGCCCGGGCCUCGCGGCUCCCUCCCGAGCCCGGUGGCCCCUGCCCCGGGCCCAUCUCCGUACAGUGUCAGAAAAAUAAAUAAAAGGAAAGAGGAGCCUGGGCAGGCGGUCGGGAUCGCUUCCCUCCCUCCGCACCCGCCCUCCCUCUGUCCUUAAGGAAAUGCUACCAGACACCCCCCACCAGACACGCUCAGCCUUGGCGAGGAGCGGCCGCCGCGGCAGCGAGAACAAGGGCACCAGGGGGGUUUCCUCCCCCUCCUCCUCUCCCUCCUCUUCCUCCUCCUUCUCUCCGUCCUCCUCCUCCUCCUCCUUCUCAGCGGUGACUUUCCAGGUGAGCGGCCGCCUCUGCUGCUGCUGCGAGGAUCCCCCUCGCCCGCUCGGGCUCGGGCCGCCGCGUCGCGCCCUCCACCCGCCCCUGUCACCCGGCGGCGGCCGGGAGCUGACAGCCGCCCGAGGGGCUAGCGGCCCGGGGGCGGGCGGCCGGCCGGAGGCGGGCUGGAGGUGAGGGGGUGGAGAGGAGGCGAGCGGGGCGCCGCUGAGCGCUGUCUCUGCCCGCCCGAGGAGGGUCUCCGCAGAAACAUCUCCGGUGACUGUGGCACAAGUCUUGGCCAAGUUGUGUCUUGGACGUUGAGGUUCCCGGGAGCCCGGAGCAACUUGGAGGGUCUCCUGGCUCCUUAACCAUAUUCCUACACGUCUCGACUUUUGGGGGUGCUGGGUGCAGCCUCGGGGUGCGUGGAGGGCGGACCGACCGUUCGGGCGAGCAGAGCGGCGGGAAUCUAGGUCCCUCGGCUCGAUUCCCAGAAGUUGUGCAUGUGUUCCUGUGGAGGGAGUUGGCAUCGUUGAAAGCAAAGACGGCUGUG